CUACAACAAUGGCUUUUCUUACGACACCUUUGGAUUAUUCCUGAAAAAAAAAAAAAAAAAAAACUCUCUGAGCAGU